UGUGACCGGAAACCGUCUUACUUUGUGAUUUGCUUGCGUCACUCGCGCGCCCGAGUGAUCUCAGCAAACGCGCCGCCGUGUUUUCAAACGCCGGCCGCUGCAGCUAAACGCCGGGUUUCGGGUUGUCACGAUGCUUCCCAGCGCAGGUUGAAACAUGCCCAAGUCCGCGAGCAAGGCCCGCGGCGCGCAGGCCUCCAUUAGCCGCUACUUCGGACGAAGCAGCCGGAUUAGCCGCCAUCCCGACGAGCCGCGGCUGUGCAGAGGCAAGCAGAAGCCGUCCUGUGAUGGGGAUCUGGGUUUGCCACCAAAACGCGCCAAGCUUUCCUCACAGGAAGUGCCCUUGGAGGGUUUGGGCACUAAAGAGACUGGGCCAACUUUGAGCAAAGGAGCCGUGGGCCUUUGUUCCUCCACACUAGAGAAGCUGAGGGGCUUCACCUGCGCAGCUGAGCCCAGCACGGAGCACGAGGACGGCGAGAGGGAGGAGAGGAAGGUAGACGACGGCAGCAGCCAGAGCUGUGAGCCAGGAGGCGGCACGUGGACUCCUCCGGGAGUCAGAGGUCCACACAGCCAUGAAACCAGGCUUCAGGACACAGAGGAGGAGGAUGAAGAGGAGAACGUUAAAGAAAAGAGUUCAGGGCAGGUUGCUUCCAUACAGUGUAUUUUUCCUUCGCAGGGGAUCAGCUUCUCUCAGUUUGCAAAGUCAGGCCCAGGCAGGGUGCGUGGUGCGGAGCGGAGUCCUCCUCCAGACUCGGGAGCCGCCUCCAGACGCAGGAGCGUGUUCACGCCUCUGGAGCAGCAGGUCAUCCAGCUGAAACAGCAGCACAACGAUGCCUUGUUGGCUGUGGAGUGUGGCUACAAGUACAGGUUCUUUGGAGAGGAUGCAGAGGUUGCUGCAAAGGAGCUGAACAUCACAUGUCACCUGGACCACAACUUCAUGACGUGCAGCGUCCCCACACACCGUUUGUUCGUUCACGUCCGACGCCUGGUGUCCCACGGUCACAAGGUUGGUGUGGUCAAACAGAUGGAGACGUCGGCAAUUAAGGCGUCGGGGGCCAAUAGAAACGCUCUGUUCACUCGUCAGCUCAGCGCUCUGUACACGAAGUCCACUCUGGUGGGAGAGGAUGUGAACCCAGUCUGCAGACUGCUGGAUGUGGGGGAUGAGGACAGGGAGGACGUGGUCCUGGACCCUCUUGACAGCUUCCUGCUGUGCAUCAGCGAGAACUGGGACAAAUUCAAGAAGCAGCUCACUGUUGGACUGGUGGCAGUGCAGCCCAGCACAGGAGACGUGUUACUGGACUGUUUCCCUGACGGUCCGUCCCGCUCCGAGCUCGAGGGCCGCGUCCUAAAGAUCAACCCUGUGGAGAUCCUGGUGCCCUCUGACCUCUCGGAACAAACCCGCAGACUCCUGCAGAGCGUCACAAAUGCAAGCUCUCAGGCAGAUGACCGAGUGAGAGUUGAAAAGAGGGACAGCGGCGAGUUCGAGUUCGUCUCGGCGAUGAACAAAGUCACUGAGUUCUAUUGCACCAACGUGGACAAAGGAUCUCCGUCUUUGUCGUGUGUGGCGGCUUUGGAGAGUCCAGUGAUCUGCUGUCUGGGGCCGCUCAUUCAGUACCUCCAAGAAUUCAACUUGGAGAGAGUUCUUAGGAGUGAAAGCUCAUUUCGACGUCUAUCCUGUGAGUCCGAGGUCAUGAUCCUCAACGCUGCCACUCUUAGGAACCUAGAGAUCCUCAACAAUCAGACAGAUGGUGGCGCGAAAGGCAGUCUGUUAUGGGUGUUGGACCACACUCGCACUUCAUUUGGGAGGAGACUGAUCAGAAAGUGGGUUAGCCAGCCACUCAGAGACCCACAGUCCAUCUUAGAGAGGCAGGAUGCAGUUCAGGAGAUCUUGGAGUCUGACUCGCUGACUUUAAGCUCCAUCAGAUCGCUGCUAUCACAUUUGCCCGACUUGGAGAGAGGCAUCUGCAGCAUCUACCACAAAAAGUCGACAACGCAGGAGUUUUACCUCAUUAGUAGCAGUCUUUCUCGUCUGGGCUUGGAACUGCAGGCCCUGCUCCCAGCUAUCGAGUCACAGAUUAACUCUGUGUUGCUCCGAGGCCUUUUGUUGGACUCCCCGGACCUGCUGGCCCCAGCCCACGCUUUUCUGAGGGUGCUUGAUGAAAAGGCAGCCAAGUCGGGGAAUAAAACAGAGCUGUUCUCAGACCUUUCUGGCUUCCCAGUGCUGCAGGAAAGGAGGGGGCAGAUCCAGAGCGUCCUUGGUGAGAUUCAAGACCACCGCCGAGAAAUCCGACUGAAGCUAAAGGCUCCCACGUUGGACUACACGACUGUUUCUGGACAGGAGUUUUUGAUUGAGGUAAAGAACUCGCUGUCAUCCACUGUUCCACCUGAGUGGAUCAAAAUCAGCAGCACCAAAGCAGUCAGCAGGUACCAUUCUCCGUUCCUGGUGGAGCGCUACAAGCGGCUGCAGCAGCUCCGGGAGCAGCUGUUGCUAGAUUGCCAGAGGGAAUGGACCAAUUUUCUGGAACAGUUUGGGGAGCACUAUCACAUCAUGAAAAGAGCUAUUAGUCACCUAGCAACCGUGGACUGCCUCUUUUCAUUGGCCGAAGUGGCUAAACAAGGGGACUACUGCAGACCUGAGGUGUGUCCGAGCCAGUCGCAGAUCAUCAUCAGGGACGGUCGACAUCCUGCCAUCGACGUACUGAUGGGAGAGCACAGCCAGUAUGUGCCCAACCACACAGAACUACAGGGAGAUGGUAGGAGAGCUAUGAUAAUCACUGGUCCUAAUAUGGGGGGUAAGAGCUCCUACAUCCGGCAGGUGGCCCUCAUCUGUGUCAUGGCUCAGAUGGGCUCCUACAUCCCGGCCUCUGGGGCCCAGCUGGGUGUUCUGGAUGGCAUAUACACCAGGAUGGGGGCUAGUGACAAUAUCUACAAAGGACGCAGCACAUUCAUGGAGGAACUGACGGAGGCCUCGGACAUCAUCUCCCAUGCAACUGAGCGUUCGCUGGUCAUCCUCGAUGAACUGGGACGGGGCACGAGCACCCAUGAUGGAAUCGCCAUCGCCUACGCCACCCUGGAGUAUUUCAUCAGGGAUGUGCACAGCGCUCUACAGCGCAACAGAUUCCAAUUUGGAGCUCAAACCCAUCUGAGACAUAGGAGAGGAGGUCAGCAGUGACUGGAGACACAGCUUGUCCCAACUGGACCGGGCCCCCCCACAGCUGGACCUCUCCGAGCAUUCCUCCCUGUGUUUGCAACCAUUCAGGAGAGUUAUUUUACACUGUGGGUGGAUGUGUCUAUACUGUAUAUAGAUGUCCGUCUCCCUCCCUCUAAUUAUAGAAGGUGAAAGAAGUUCAUCUCCAGUAUUUCUGUUUUGUCUUAAUUGAUGGCCACCAGGAGGAAGCAGCUGUGCAACCAACCAGCUUCUUGUAGGGCUGUAACUUACUUGUACACGUUUUUAUUUUUAUUUUUAUUAAGGGUCUCAUGUAUAAUUUUAAUAUAACCAUAGAGGAGGUAAUAAUAGUAUGUAUUAGCUGCGAGCCUUGUUGUCAAAUUGUUAAAUGUAAAUCUGUUAAUCAUCAAACUAAAAUUUUCAGGCCCAAAUCAAUUGAUAACUGAUGAUGACUAAAACCGAUCCUCAUGAUGUGACCAGUCGAUUCAUUAAAUGAUUGUUUCAGCAUUCAUUUCAUCGUGUGGUCCAGCUUUGGAUGGGGUGGUCAGCUUCCAUUAGCACCUGCUCGCUCCAUCGCUACGACUGCAGCCUCCCUCUGCUGUGCUCUGGUCGAUCGACUGCUCUGUGCAGGUCAAAGCCCUCACCCUGUUUGUGACCCAUUACCCUCCCUUGUGUGAGUUGGAGCGGGUGUAUCCUCGGCUGGUGACGAACUACCACAUGGCUUUCCUGCUCAACGAACCUGACGCUGCGGCGGCGCCCGCUGA